rnacentral:lncRNA from 1 species
AACUUUCUGGCUCCCUCUCUGCUGGGGGAACAUCGGUGGCACCAACACGGAGCAGGCAGCGUGUGCAGGGAGGGGGCUGUGAAUUUUAGGAAGGGGGUCGCGGUACAUCAUAGUGGGGGGCACCCAUUUGCCAACACCUGCCACCCUUCCCAUUGUCCCUGCUCUCCUCUCCCUGACACUGCAUCACUGCCACCAUCCUCCAGCCCUUCUUGUCCUACAGUGCUGGCAUUCCACAGCCCGGGUGUCCCCAGCCUGAGAGCACCGCUGACCCCGUCCUGCUGUCCCCAGCGACCCUCCAUCCUGCAGCCCCCACGGUUCCACCCCAUUGUCACCCAAGCCCCAUUCCCGAUCCCCUCAGCCUGUGUCUCUUCCAGUCUCCCCAUCUCGAGCUCCCCAGCCCCAACAGCCCCCUCGGUAUCCCCAGCCCCCAGUCACAGCACAGCCCUCUUCCCAGCCCCCCUCACCCCAAUACACCCCGAUGUCCCCCAACCCCAAUCCCUCCCUCCGCAGCCCCGGUACCCGCAUCCCCCCUCCGUGACAACCGCGUUAUUCCCAUCCCCGAUCCGUCCCGCUCGUGUCACAGCGGUGCCACCGCCCCCAUCCCCGGCCCCGCCGGCACCGGGCACCGCAGCGGGGGCGCGGCGCGGGCGGAGCCGGUACCGGUUCCCCGGUACCGCACGUACCUGGGGCCGUGCUCACGGCACGCAGAGGGUCAUCGCCGCCGGUGGAGCCGCGCACCGAGCGCCCCGCCGGCACCGGGGGCUUAAAAGCGGGGAGCGGAUGGGGGGCAGCGGGGCCGGGUCCCCCGGAGGGGGCCGAGCCGGGCCGGGCCGGGCCAAUCGCGGCUGGCGGCAGGCGCGGCCCCCCCGCCGGUGCCGCCCGCACCUGCCCGCAGCGGCGGAACCCAAACCCGCUCCGCGCUGCCCGGUGCAGGGCGAGGGGCGGCCGCGCAUGCGUCGCCGCCCCCUUUCCCCCCCCGUUCCCCCCCAGCAAUCGGGGCCGCCCCCUCCCCUGAGAGCGGGGCCACCCCCCGCCGCCGGCACCGCAGACCCCGGCGUUGGAGCGGAGCGGGUUUUCUCUGGGGGCGUCUCUUUCCAUGCCGCCCCCCCCCCCGGUGCAGCGUGUCCCCGCAUCCUGCCCCGGCACCGGGGGGGUUUUGGGGUGUCACCACGCAGGAUGGAUUCCCUGCAGCCCUCUCCACCCCACUGGUGUGUGGGGACAGGCUGGCUCCAUGCAUGUUUCUGGGGGCGUCUGGAUGAAGGACACCUUCCCCAUACCCCUAAACCCCUGCUGCACUUAGCACCCUGCAGCCCCCCAAACCCCCAACCCCGUGUCCCACUCAGCCCCACGGCAGCUGGAAGGAGUUGA